UUCUGGAAGGAAGAAACUGAUAAAUAGUAAAAUUGGAAUGGCGAAGAGAAGAUUAGCAUGGCUCCUACGCAAGGACAACAUAUCAUUUUAAAACAAGAAUAUUUU